CUAUCUUUGUACUCUGUUUCUACAUAGAAUUCGCAGCACAUCUUAAAAGAAUAAUAUCACAUUUUUUAGUUUAAUCAUAUGUAUGCUGCAUGCUUUCAAUUUAUAUAAAUGUUCAGUAUAGUGUUUUAUAAACCCGUUUACCAAUGCCGAAAAUGGUGGAAGGGCGCCAAGGCGUGCCCCUAAAUUUUUUGGUACCUGCUGUUGAAGGUGAACGUGUGCAAGUACAACGAAUUCAUUACUGCCGCAGUGCAAAUGGGUCUAGCCGUGAGGAAAGCGUGUAGAUGGUACAUCAACGCAGACAUCCCUCAAAUAAUUGUCCUCCCUGCUAGAGUCGACCAUUGAACCCAACGCAGAUUCUUCAUUGGCUACCAAUAUCGCUCUGUGUCACCAAGUAGGCGACUAUCUGAGGAAAUCUCUUUCUGAAUUGAUCAACUUCAGUCUCUUCCAUGUGAUUGUUUGGAGAAAAUGAUGGGCUCCUAUUCAUGAUCUUACAAUUGUUAUGCACUCAUGUAGUGUAAGGUUGUUUAUAACCUCUUUCAGUUUGUCCAUUUUGUUGCUUUUGACUGGUAUCACCAUUAUCUGCUAGGUUAAUUAGAUUGAUAUCUUUGAAAUUUUGUAUAGUUCCAGCAAUUAUGUUUAUGAUGUUCUCUUCA